UACGAACCGUCCAAACGUUUAUUCGGAAUUACUGGGCUUAAAGGGUUUGUAGGCGGCCUUGUAAGUGGGGUGUGAAAUCCCUCGGCUCAACCGAGGAAUAGCGCUCCAAACUACAUGGCUUGAGGGAGACAGGGGUAAGCGGAACUGAUGGUGGAGCGGUGAAAUGCGUUGAUAUCAUCAGGAACACCGGUGGCGAAAGCGGCUUACUGGGUCUCUUCUGACGCUGAGGCACGAAAGCGUGGGUAGCAAACAGG
rnacentral:rRNA from 1 species